rnacentral:rRNA from 1 species
AAUUUUGCGCAAUGGGCGAAAGCCUGACGCAGCAACGCCGCGUGAAGGAUGAAAUCUUUCGGGAUGUAAACUUCGUAAAUGUGGGAAGAACACAAUGACGGUACCACAUGUAAGCCCCGGCUAACUCCGUGCCAGCAGCCGCGGUAAUACGGGGGGGGCAAGCGUUGUUCGGAUUUACUGGGCGUAAAGGGCGCGUAGGCGGCCACCGCAAGUCGACUGUGAAAUCUCCGGGCUUAACCCGGAAAGGUCAGCCGAUACUGCGGGGCUAGAGUGCAGAAGGGGCAACUGGAAUUCUCGGUGUAGCGGUGAAAUGCGUAGAUAUCGAGAGGAACACCUGCGGCGAAGGCGGGUUGCUGGGCUGACACUGACGCUGAGGCGCGAAAGCUAGGGGAGCGAAC